AACGAACGCUGGCGGCAUGCUUAACACAUGCAAGUCGAACGCAUCCUUCGGGGUGAGUGGCAGACGGGUGAGUAACGCGUGGGAACGUGCUCCUCAGAUCGGGAUAACCAAGGGAAACUUGGGCUAAUACGGGAUAGGUGCGUGAGCGGAAAGAUUUAUGGCGUAAGGCUUGGCCCGAGUCGGGGUAGGGAGUGGGUGGGGUAAUGGCCCACCAAGGCGACGACCAGUAGCUGGACUGAGAGGAUGAUCAGCCCCAUUGGGACUGGGACACGGCCCAAACUCCUACGGGAGGAAGGAGUGGGGAAUAUUGGACAAUGGGCGCAAGCCUGAUCCAGCCAUGCCGCGUGAGUGAUGACGGCCUUAGGGUUGUAAAGCUCUUUCGUCCGGGACGAUAAUGACGGUACCGGAAGAAGAAGCCCCGGCUAACUUCGUGCCAGCCGCCGCCGUAA
rnacentral:rRNA from 1 species